UCUGCAUCGGUAGAGAUCCNCNCUUCCCUUCGGGGACAGAGUGACAGGUNCCGCAUGGUUGUCGUCAGCUCGUGUCGUGAGAUGUUGGGUUAAGUCCCGCAACGAGUCGCNACCCUUGAUCUUAGUUGCCAGCAUUUAGUUGGGCACUCUAAGGUGACUGCCGGUGACAAACCGGAGGAAGGUGGGGAUGACGUCAAAUCAUCAUGCCCCUUAUGACCUGGGCUACACACGUGCUACAAUGGAUGGAACAAAGGGAAGCAAAACCGCGAGGUCAAGCAAAUCCCAUAAAACCAUUCUCAGUUCGGAUUGCAGGCUGCAACUCGCCUGCAUGAAGCCGGAAUCGCUAGUAAUCGCGGAUCAGCAUGCCGCGGUGAAUACGUUCCCGGGCCUUGUACACACCGCCCGUCACACCACGAGAGUUGGUAACACCCGAAGUCGGUGAGGUAACCUUUUGGAGCCAGCCGCCGAAGGUGGGACCAAUGAUUGGGGUGAAGU
rnacentral:rRNA from 1 species